rnacentral:rRNA from 1 species
GGACUACACGGGUAUCUAAUCCUGUUUGCUCCCCUUGCUCUCGCGCCUCAGCGUCAGGUAUAAACUAGAAAGCCGCCUUCGCCACCGGUGUUCCUCCACAUAUCUACGCAUUUCACCGCUACAUGUGGAAUUCCGCUUUCUCCGUCAAACCUCUAGAAAAACAGUUUCAAAUGCAGCACCAAAGUUGAGCUUUGGUAUUUCACAUCUGACUUAUUCAUCCGCCUACGCGCCCUUUACGCCCAAUAAUUCCGAUUAAUGCUUGCACCCUACGUAUUACCGCGGCUGCUGGCAC